ACAUACUGAAAAUUACCUCAGUUGUAACCAUUGACUGAAGUAAGAUAAUUGUGCCAACAGAAAAUGGUACAUUUUUAAGCUUAUUGUCAGUCAAUGUGACUCACAAUGAAACCCAUGUGCCAACAGUU